rnacentral:rRNA from 1 species
AGAACGAACGCUGGCGGCAUGCCUAACACAUGCAAGUCGAACGAGACCUUCGGGUCUAGUGGCGCACGGGUGCGUAACGCGUGGGAAUCUGCCCUUAGGUACGGAAUAACAGUGAGAAAUUACUGCUAAUACCGUAUGAUGUCUUCGGACCAAAGAUUUAUCGCCUAGGGAUGAGCCCGCGUUGGAUUAGCUAGUUGGUGGGGUAAAGGCCUACCAAGGCGACGAUCCAUAGCUGGUCUGAGAGGAUGAUCAGCCACACUGGGACUGAGACACGGCCCAGACUCCUACGGGAGGCAGCAGUGGGGAAUAUUGGACAAUGGGCGAAAGCCUGAUCCAGCAAUGCCGCGUGAGUGAAGAAGGCCUUCGGGUUGUAAAGCUCUUUUACCCGGGAAGAUAAUGACUGUACCGGGAGAAUAACGCCCGGCUAACUCCGUGCCAGCAGCCGC